UACGUAGGGUGCAAGCGUUGUCCGGAAUUAUUUGGGCGUAAAGGGCUCGUAGGCGGUUUGUCGCGUCGGGAGUGAAAUCCACUGGCUUAACUGGUGGCUUUGCUUUCGAUACGGGCAGACUGGAGGUAUGCAGGGGAGAACGGAAUUCCUGGUGUAGCGGUGAAAUGCUUAGAUAUGACAUAGAACACCGAUUGCGAAGGCAGCUUUGCUAAACGAUUAUUGACGCUGAGGCACGAAAGCGUGGGGAUCAAACAGG
rnacentral:rRNA from 1 species